rnacentral:rRNA from 1 species
GAUGAACGCUGGCGUCGUGCCUAAUACAUGCAAGUCGAGCGAAUGGAUUAAGAGCUUGCUCUUAUGAAGUUAGCGGCGGACGGGUGAGUAACACGUGGGUAACCUGCCCAUAAGACUGGGAUAACUCCGGGAAACCGGGGCUAAUACCGGAUAACAUUUUGAACCGCAUGGUUCGAAAUUGAAAGGCGGCUUCGGCUGUCACUUAUGGAUGGACCCGCGUCGCAUUAGCUAGUUGGGGAGGUAACGGCUCACCAAGGCAACGAUGCGUAGCCGACCUAGGAGGGUGAUCGGCCACACUGGGACUGAGACACGGCCCAAACUCCUGCGGGAGGCAGCAGUAGGGAAUCUUCCGCAAUGGACGAAAGUCUGACGGAGCAACGCCGCGUGAGUGAUGAAGGCUUUCGGGUCGUAAAACUCUGUUGUUAGGGAAGAACAAGUGCUAGUUGAAUAAGCUGGCACCUUGACGGUACCUAACCAGAAAGCCACGGCUAACUACGUGCCAGCCGCCGCGGUAA